rnacentral:rRNA from 1 species
CCCUAUUAUUGGGAGGGAAAAAUGGAGUUAGGGAGUAGGUCAUUGACUGAAAACCAUCUAGGAUGGCGGUUUUUUUUAUUAUUAGAUAAAUGUGUUUUUAAAACGAAAAUACACGACUAUCUUUCUUACCUUUGAAAAAUUCAUCCUGUACACCGCCGUCUGAAGAGUCAGCUUUAAUAGCUAGCCCUGUUACUCUCAUAUCAGUAAUAAGUCAGGUAAGGUGCAGACUAUGGGUAAGAAGAAAUGCAUUUCACUACACGUCGAGAGAAUUGGUUGAAAGCCAUUUUCAAGAAGAAUUUAAUAGUAAGAUUUUUUUAUCAUAAAAACCUGAACUAAUUUCAAAAAAAUGUACACAUCGCCCG